AGUGAACGCUGGCGGUAGGCCUAACACAUGCAAGUCGAACGGCAGCACAGGAGAGCUUGCUCUCUGGGUGGCGAGUGGCGGACGGGUGAGGAAUACAUCGGAAUCUACUCUGUCGUGGGGGAUAACGUAGGGAAACUUACGCUAAUACCGCAUACGACCUACGGGUGAAAGCAGGGGAUCUUCGGACCUUGCGCGAUUGAAUGAGCCGAUGUCGGAUUAGCUAGUUGGCGGGGUAAAGGCCCACCAAGGCGACGAUCCGUAGCUGGACUGAGAAGAUGAUCAGCAACGCUGGAACUGAGACACGGUCCAGACUCCUACGGGAGGCAGCAGUGGGGAAUAUUGGACAAUGGGCGCAAGCCUGAUCCAGCCAUACCGCGUGGGUGAAGAAGGCCUUCGGGUUGUAAAGCCCUUUUGUUGGGAAAGAAAUCCAGCUGGCUAAUACCCGGUUGGGAUGACGGUACCCAAAGAAUAAGCACCGGCUAACUUCGUGCCAGCCGCCGCAGUAA
rnacentral:rRNA from 1 species